UACAGAUCUCCCGCAGGUCCUUAUAAACUCUUAAAGUGAGUUGUAUCAAAAUUAAGGCCAUAAAAAGUUUUAAAUACGUUAAAUGGUAUAAGAAAUGUCUUAAUUAUAAUUUCUAGAGGUCUUACAGUUGGGGACGGAAAGACAUGAGUCGUGAUACGGCAGGAUUAAACUUCAAAAGGCAAUGAUGUCAUUGAAUAAAUAAUGAGCGCUGCAGUUUCAAGUCAAAAUGCGGCGCAGAUGUCUUUAUGUGAAUGUAUCUGAAGGGAACCGACUGUCCUCAGAAACGUGUCUUUGGCAUUUUACCUAUAAUAGGCCUUUAUCACACUUCCGCGUUCGAAAAGUUUUGUUGUGGAUUAUUUACGUAGAAUUCAGCACAGAUACGUCUUCUAAAGACACCAAUCUCAGUUUACAACAAUUAACUGAGUAUUAUGAAACGAAGGAAUAUGUUGUCACGAUAUCCAGAUGCGUCCCAGACAGCAGUUGACUCUGUGCCAGAUCCGUUUUCAAACCGGCAAAUCCGUAUUACAGUCACAUCCGUUUCAGUGCUGUAACACGGAUCCAGCCCGGGCCCGGUUUCAGUGGCGGGAACUACUGUCGCAGAGCAGAUCCGGGCCGCGUCCGAAACGAGCGCGUUUUUUUCUGCAGUUCAGAACAGAAGACGUCAAAGAUAUUUGCUCUGAUCAAAGCAAUAAAUUGUAUUUUGAAGUAAAUUAAAAUAGAAAACCAUUAUUUUAAAUUGUAAUACUUUUUCCUGUAUUUUUGAUCAAAUAAAUGCUGGCUUGAUUAGCAUUUCGCGGAAAGAGUAAAAUAAAAUGUGUUGUAAUAUACUGUUUCAAUAUCUUAGAGAAACCAAUUUAAGUGGAAGGAUUUUUUUUUAUUUUUUUAAACAAUGCUUAUACACAACAUUCUGGUCCACACUCACACCAGAUGGUGGCGGUAAUGCACCAAAAAGUUGUUUGCCAACCGCCAAUAAACCUUAAUAGUAGAAGACGACGUCAAGACGAUCGAGGCACGGACUGCACGCUGUUAUCCUCACAAACUUCACCAAGAUCGGUGUUGGACCGGCGAACAAUUUAGGCCUGUUAUCAGAGGACUUGCUAACAUGAAGAAAACGGUCCAGAGGUUCCACCUGAGAGCCGGGACUGUCACAUAGUAAGAUCUACUGGUUUCUUCUCUGUCUGGAGCUUCAGCACUUCCAGGAGGACGGAGAUCUUUCUCUCUGAGAGAUCUAUGAUCCAGACAUCAGGUGACUGGAAAACUGACUGUAAUGCUGGAAGAUAAC